rnacentral:tRNA from 1 species
GUCAGUUUAGCUCAGAGGUAGAGCGCCGGUCUCAUAAAAUCAUUAUGAGAUUUGAUUCAAGAUGAUAUGGAAUCCGGAGGUCGCGAGUUCGAUUCUCGCAACUGACA